CAUUAUACCGUGAAACUGCGAAUGGCUCAUUAAAUCAGUUAUCGUUUAUUUGAUAGUACCUUACUACUUGGAUAACCGUGGUAAUUCUAGAGCUAAUACAUGCUAAAAACCCCGACUUCGGGAGGGGUGUAUUUAUUAGAUAAAAAACCAAUGCCCUUCGGGGCUCUUUGGUGAUUCAUAAUAACUUAACGGAUCGCAUGGCCUUGCGCCGGCGACGGUUCAUUCAAAUUUCUGCCCUAUCAACUUUCGAUGGUAAGGUAUUGGCUUACCAUGGUUUCAACGGGUAACGGGGAAUUAGGGUUCGAUUCCGGAGAGGGAGCCUGAGAAACGGCUACCACAUCCAAGGAAGGCAGCAGGCGCGCAAAUUACCCAAUCCCGACACGGGGAGGUAGUGACAAUAAAUACUGAUACAGGGCUCUUUUGGGUCUUGUAAUUGGAAUGAGUACAAUUUAAACCCCUUAACGAGGAACAAUUGGAGGGCAAGUCUGGUGCCAGCAGCCGCGGUAAUUCCAGCUCCAAUAGCGUAUAUUAAAGUUGUUGCAGUUAAAAAGCUCGUAGUUGAAACUUGGGCCUGGCUGGCCGGUCCGCCUCACCGCGUGUACUGGUCCGGCCGGGCCUUUCCUUCUGGAGAGCCUCAUGCCCUUCACUGGGUGUGUUGGGGAACCAGGACUUUUACUUUGAAAAAAUUAGAGUGUUCAAAGCAGGCCUUUGCUCGAAUACGUUAGCAUGGAAUAAUAGAAUAGGACGUGCGAUCCUAUUUUGUUGGUUUCUAGGACCGCCGUAAUGAUUAAUAGGGAUAGUCGGGGGCAUCAGUAUUCAAUUGUCAGAGGUGAAAUUCUUGGAUUUAUUGAAGACUAACUACUGCGAAAGCAUUUGCCAAGGAUGUUUUCAUUAAUCAGUGAACGAAAGUUAGGGGAUCGAAGACGAUCAGAUACCGUCGUAGUCUUAACCGUAAACUAUGCCGACUAGGGAUCGGGCGAUGUUAUUAUUUUGACUCGCUCGGCACCUUACGAGAAAUCAAAGUUUUUGGGUUCUGGGGGGAGUAUGGUCGCAAGGCUGAAACUUAAAG
rnacentral:rRNA from 1 species